rnacentral:rRNA from 1 species
UAAGGAAUAUUGCUCAAUGGGAGAAAUCCUGAAGCAGCAACGCCGCGUGGAGGAUGAAGGGUCUAUGACUUGUAAACUCCUGUAAAGAAGGAAAAAAUUCCCAUUUGAUGGGAGAUGAUGGUACUUCUGGAGUAAGCCCCGGCUAACUACGUGCCAGCAGCCGCGGUAAUACGUAGGGGGCAAGCGUUGUCCGGAUUUACUGGGUGUAAAGGAUGCGUAGGCGGAUACUUAAGUCAGAUGUGAAAAUCCCGGGCUUAACUUGGGAACUGCAUUUGAAACUGGGUAUCUAGAGUGCGGGAGAGGAAAGUGGAAUUCCUAGUGUAGCGGUGAAAUGCGUAGAGAUUAGGAAGAACACCAGUGGCGAAGGCGACUUUCUGAACCGUAACUGACGCUGAGGCAUGAAAGCGUGGGGAGCAAACA